rnacentral:lncRNA from 1 species
GAGACUCUUGGGAAAGCUGACUUUUUCCCUCAAACUCUCCUAGACCUUCCUUCUUGCUGCCCUUGGAGAUAGCAAGUCCACUGAGCUGUCACCCUCUUUUCAUCCUUCUGCCUAUGACCAGCCACAUGGUCAGGCUGGGGAAUUCACAUCCUUGGGCAGUAACCAGCAAGUUUUUAUCCAGCAAUGCCUCAAGGGAUGUUCCAUUACUCUCAGGAGCUGGCCGUUAAGUCUGUUCUAUGCUGUCAGUCAGCACCAGAGAUACAUAGGACUCUACAGCCCAGCUCAGCUUAGACUUCCAGUGGGAGACUUUUUACAAAGUGGGGUUCCUAUCCCCCAAAUGUUGACUCUAACCUAAUUCACAAUCANNNNNNNNNNNNNNNNNNNNNNNNNNNNNNNNNNNNNNNNUCAUUCUAUCCUCACAGCCUAGGGAAAUAGGAUUCUUCAUUCCAUUUCUCCACGCUAGGAAACUGAGGCACAGAGUGGAGUUCUAGUGCACGAGGACAGUCAGGAGGUGGCACAGUGCCCGGACUUGAGCCCAGGGCUCUAUGAGGGUCUCUUCCCUUCAUAGCCUCUUCCCUGCUCAUUCCUCUCACUCUGAGUGGUACGGAGGUUGACUGUAAAGAAANNNNNNUUGGUUUUGAUCCUUUACAAGCUUUCUGCUAAGAAGUGUCUGAGGCUGUGGUCUUCCAAAAAGAAAUAGGAGCUUGAUUGAAGCCCCCACAUUUUCAAACAUCUUAUUUUCUAUUUCUGGGCAGCUCUGCUAACAGGUCAGUGCUGUCUUAGGAGGCAUCUGACUCAACCUUGGAAGCACCUUGCAGUGUCUUUACUAUCUUGCUCCCUAAGGGAACUGUUUUUCUCUCUCUCUCUUUUUUUCUUUCUAACUGGUGGGAAAAUCCUACUCAUGAAAGCAUGUUUAGAGGGUGGGAGCAGGACUGGGCCUCCCAGGGCAUCUGGCCCUGCUUGCUUUGGUGGAGGCCUGGAGAAGUAGGUGGGGGCUGGGUGGCAGAAGGGGGCCCUCCCAACCCAUUCUCCAGCGUGGCCCCCUCUCUCCUGAUGGCUGCUCCUGUUGUGCCUGCAGUGACUGUCCUCACCGUUCAACCCUGUGCUGUGUGGUGUAUUUUUUUUUUUUUCACUGACAUUGAAUAAAAAGUGUGACCGUGCUGGGGGCCUCUUCUCUUCCCCCAGUGGAGACAGGGCUGGGGUGAGGAGAAAAGGGGAGAAACGACCUGAGGGAGCUCACACAAUGGGGGAACCUCGGCAUCCUCCUUGCGGCAGAGGUCCUUGUUCCAGGUUACAGGGAACAGAGACCCACUCAAGCUAGUUCACAGCAAGGGGUGAGCAGAUAACAAGGGACUCUAAAGAUGGAAAUUCAAGAAUGGCUGGGCCUCAAGAGAACAGGCGCUGUCAGUGGGACCUCUGCCCUCUCAUCUCUGGACCUUGAGGGUUCUUAUCCCUUUGGCAAUAUUCGCGUCUAUACUCUUUUCUUUAGUUUCUCUUGAGACCCCCUUGGUUUCCCUGCACAAAGUGGCUGCUUCUUCAACUCUGUAUCCAGACUCACCAAUGACUGACAGCUCCCUUCUGUGUCUCUUAAUUCAGUUUUCAAGCAAGGGAAUCUGAUUGGUUCAGUUUCGCUUUUCCUGGGAGGCCUUGAUCCAUUCAUCAGCGCCAGACCAUAUGCUGAUUUGGGGGGUGUGGGGGCAGGAAUACUGUCCCCAAAAGGGAGCUAGUGGCAGCAAGCCUUGGACUCAGUUUCUCCCUCUGUCCAAUGGAAGACAUGGUAAGAGCCCACCUGAGUUAGUGGGCAGUUAGUGGAUAGAGGGCAGUGGGGAGAAAGGCCAAGAGUCAGGAUUACAAUUAGUCUACCUCGUGCUCUUUGCACACGUUAGGAAAAGGUGCCCCUUUGAAUGUAGCAAUCCCAUAAGCAUGCAGCUAGGCCAGUAGAUGGCACAUUUGAGCUAAUGAGAAUGAUAUACCCCUUUCAUGCCCCAGUUCACAGCUUGGCAAGGGGCACACAGCCUGGAUCUCAGCCUCUGCUUGCCCCCCUGGUCCAGGGUGUUGNGUAGCGCAGACACUGUUCCACCAUCCACAGGAGCCCAGAGUCCUGAGAACCGUUUACGCUGACCCAGAGGUGGUGGGGUGGUGAUGGGAGUUGGUGGCAAAGUGUUUUUCUCAGAACAUGCCCCCCUCAACAGCCAGAGAAGCACUGUUCCCUACAGGGAGUGGGGGCCAGUGAGGGGGGAGCGGUCAGCUGAAGGUUUCUGCUUCCUCCUGAAACGCUCAAUUACUUUUACAAAGGUUUUCUCAAGGACGCUUGGAGGGAGCCAGCUCCCUUGACAG